AUUAGAUCAAGAACUUCAGGUCCCUGCAGAGUUACAGGGGCUGGUCUUGUUUCUGUGAACAUUUUGAAUCAUAUGGCCUGAGACAAAGCACAGCAAACACAUAAAGCAACACACUCUGACAAAACAGACGUGACCUGGAGCUUGUCAAACGGUUGUUUCCUGGAUCUGUGGAACAGAAACGCCUCGGUGCUUUUCAUCUAACACACUGAUGGAUGCAUCAGAGAGCAACUUGGG